GAAGGGGGGCUACUUGCUCGGAAUUACUGGGCGUAAAGGGCGCGUAGGCGGACAGUUUAAGUCAGAGGUGAAAGCCCAGGGCUCAACCUUGGAAUUGCCUUUGAUACUGGCUGUCUUGAGUUCGGGAGAGGUGAGUGGAAUGCCGAGUGUAGAGGUGAAAUUCGUAGAUAUUCGGCGGAACACCAGUGGCGAAGGCGACUCACUGGCCCGAUACUGACGUGAGGCGCGAAAGCGUGGGGAGCAAACAGGAUUAGAUACCCUGGUAGUCCACGCUGUAAACGAUGAGUGCUAGUUGUCGGCAUGCAUGCAUGUCGGUGAGCGCCAGUAACGCAUUAAGCA
rnacentral:rRNA from 1 species